rnacentral:rRNA from 1 species
UACAGAGGGGGCAAGCGUUAUUCGGAAUUAUUGGGCGUAAAGGGCGCGUAGGCGGCUUUGCAAGUGGCGGGUGAAAUCCCUCGGCUUAACCGAGGAACUGCCUGUCAAACUGCAUGGCUUGAGACCAGGAGAGGUGAGUGGAAUUCCCAGUGUAACGGUGAAAUGCGUAGAUAUUGGGAGGAACACCAGUGGCGAAGGCGGCUCACUGGACUGGUACUGACGCUGAUGCGCGAAAGCGUGGGGAGCAAACAGG